AUUGAACGCUGGCGGCAGGCCUAACACAUGCAAGUCGAGCGGAGCGGCGGACGGGUGCGUAAUGCCUAGGAAUCUGCCUGGUAGUGGGGGAUACCGUCCGGAAACGGGCGCUAAUACCGCAUACUAUCAGAUGAGCCAAGGUCGGAUUAGCUAGUUGGUGGGGUAAAGGCCUACCAGGGCGACGAUCCGUAACUGGUCUGAGAGGAUGAGCAGUCAUACUGGAAGUGAGAGACGGUCCAGCCUCCUACGGGAGGCAGCGGUGGUGAAUAUUGGACACUGGACGAAAGCCUGAUCCAGCCAUGCCGCGUGUGUGAUGAAGGUCUUCGGAUUGUAAAGCACUUUAAGUUGGGAGGCGUUACCCGCAGAAGAAGCACCGGCUAACUCCGUGCCAGCAGCCGCGGUAAUAC
rnacentral:rRNA from 1 species